rnacentral:misc_RNA from 1 species
GAUGAAGAACGCAGCGAAAUGCGAUAAGUUAUGUGAAUUGCAGAAUUCAGUGAAUCAUCGAAUCUUUGAACGCACCUUGCGCUCCUUGGUAUUCCGAGGAGCAUGCCUGUUUGAGUGUCAUGAAAUUCUCAACCCAUCUGGCUUUGCUAGUCAGGCUUGGAUUAUGGGAGCUGCUGGCUUUUGAAGUCGGCUCUUCUAAAAUGUAUUAGCAAGAUCAUUGCUGCUGAUCAUUGGUAUGAUAAUUAUCUAUAUCAUUGAGAGUCAGUUUCCUUUAUUGGAAGAUUUUGCUCCUAACGGUCUUUAGCAAGACAACAUUUGACGAUUUUGACCUCAAAUCAGGUAGGACUACCCGCUGAACUUAAGCAUAUCAAUAAGCGGAGGA